rnacentral:tRNA from 1 species
ACCUGGCUGGCUCAGUGGGUGGAGUGGGUGACUCUUGAUCUCAGGGUUGUGAGUUCAAGUCCCACGUUGAGUG